rnacentral:rRNA from 1 species
CUACGGGAGGCAGCAGUGGGGAAUUUUGGACAAUGGGGGAAACCCUGAUCCAGCCAUCCCGCGUGUAUGAUGAAGGCCUUCGGGUUGUAAGGUACUUUUGGCAGAGAAGAAAAGGUAUCCCCUAAUACGGGAUACUGCUGACGGUAUCUGCAGAAUAAGCACCGGCUAACUACGUGCCAGCAGCCGCGGUAAUACGUAGGGUGCAAGCGUUAAUCGGAAUUACUGGGCGUAAAGCGUGUGUAGGCGGUUCGGAAAGAAAGAUGUGAAAUCCCAGGGCUCAACCUUGGAACUGCAUUUUUAACUGCCGAGCUAGAGUAUGUCAGAGGGGGGUAGAAUUCUACGUGUAGCAGUGAAAUGCGUAGAUAUGUGGAGGAAUACCGAUGGCGAAGGCAGCCCCCUGGGAUAAUACUGACGCUCAGACACGAAAGCGUGGGGAGCAAACAGGAUUAGAUACCCUGGUAGUCCACGCCCUAAACGAUGUCAACUAGCUGUKGGGGCCGUUAGGCCUUAGUAGCGCAGCUAACGCGUGAAGUUGACCGCCUGGGGAGUACGGUCGCAAGAUUAAAACUCAAAUGAAUUGACGG